rnacentral:rRNA from 1 species
UACGGAGGGUGCAAGCGUUAUCCGGAUUCACUGGGUUUAAAGGGUGCGUAGGUGGGUUGGUAAGUCAGUGGUGAAAUCUCCGAGCUUAACUCGGAAACUGCCAUUGAUACUAUCAGUCUUGAAUACCGUGGAGGUCAGUGGAAUAUGUCAUGUAGCGGUGAAAUGCUUAGAUAUGACAUAGAACACCAAUUGCGAAGGCAGCUGGCUACACGAAUAUUGACACUCAGGCACGAAAGCGUGGGGAUCAAACAGG